UACGUAGGCGGAAAAUUAAGUCAGUAGUGAAAUCCUGCAGCUUAACUGUAGAACUGUUAUUGAUACUGGUUUUCUUGAAUAUAGUUGAGGUAGGCGGAAUGUGUAAUGUAGCGGUGAAAUGCUUAGAUAUUGCACAGAACACCGAUUGCGAAGGCAGCUUACUAAGCUAUGAUUGACGCUGAGGUACGAAAGCGUGGGGAGCGAACAGGAUUAGAUACCCUGGUAGUCC
rnacentral:rRNA from 1 species